rnacentral:rRNA from 1 species
UACGUAGGGCGCAAGCGUUUAUCCGGAAUUAUUGGGCGUAAAGAGCUCGUAGGCGGUUUGUCGCGUCGAAUGUGAAAACCCGGGGCUCAACCCCGGGCCUGCAUUCGAUACGGGCAGACUAGAGUCGGUAGGGGAGUCUGGAAUUCCUGGUGUAGCGGUGAAAUGCGCAGAUAUCAGGAGGAACACCGGUGGCGAAGGCGGACUCUGGGCCGAUGACUGACGCUGAGGAGCGAAAGCGUGGGGAGCAAACAGG